rnacentral:ncRNA from 1 species
AAGAAAGCGAUGAAGGGAACUACUAGCUUAUUUCCUUAUGGAAGAGAGCCGAUGGCUGGUGUGAAUCGGUAUAAGGUAUAAGUGAAUCCAUCCUUGAGUAGUAUACGGAAAACAAAGUACGUAUACUCGGUGAUAAGCCGUUAUCUAAAAAAUGAAGCCGGGAGAAGUCUAUUCUCCAAUCAGGGUGGUAUCGCGGGAAAACUCUCGUCCCUACU